AGAGUGUGGAGUCAGGGCCUUAUUUAGAGAGCGUGGAGAAGACGAGAGACGGUCAUUCUCAUCUCUCAAAGCACCAUGUCACACCGCCAAUAUCUCGGGAUAGAGGUGCUGAAUUUGAGUGAUGUUCACUCAUUAAUCAUCUUUCCAAACCAGUAGGAGGCAACUGAACAGACCACAAGUUUCAGACAUGAAGCAGGUUCCCAGUGAGAGCAGCGUUUCUGUCUCUGAUGAGAGCGACAGUGAUUUGA